AACGAACGCUGGCGGCAGGCCUAACACAUGCAAGUCGAGCGAAGCCUUCGGGCUUAGCGGCGGACGGGUGAGUAACGCGUGGGAACGUGCCCUUUGGUACGGAAUAGCCCCGGGAAACUGGGAGUAAUACCGUAUGUGGUCGAGAGACGAAAGAUUUAUCGCCAAAGGAUCGGCCCGCGUUGGAUUAGGUAGUUGGUGGGGUAAUGGCCUACCAAGCCGACGAUCCAUAGCUGGUUUGAGAGGAUGAUCAGCCACACUGGGACUGAGACACGGCCCAGACUCCUACGGGAGGCAGCAGUGGGGAAUCUUAGACAAUGGGGGAAACCUUGAUCUAGCCAUGCCGCGUGAUCGAUGAAGGCCUUAGGGUUGUAAAGAUUUUUCAGUGGGGAAGAUAAUGACUGUACCCACAGAAGAAGCCCCGGCUAACUCCGUGCCAGCCGCCGCGGUAAUAC
rnacentral:rRNA from 1 species